UGGGGAAUUUUGGACAAUGGGGGAAACCCUGAUCCAGCCAUCCCGCGUGUGCGAUGAAGGCCUUCGGGUUGUAAAGCACUUUUGGCAGGAAAGAAACGUCGCGGGUUAAUACCCCGCGAAACUGACGGUACCUGCAGAAUAAGCACCGGCUAACUACGUGCCAGCAGCCGCGGUAAUACGUAGGGUGCAAGCGUUAAUCGGAAUUACUGGGCGUAAAGCGUGCGCAGGCGGUUCGGAAAGAAAGAUGUGAAAUCCCAGAGCUUAACUUUGGAACUGCAUUUUUAACUACCGGGCUAGAGUGUGUCAGAGGGAGGUGGAAUUCCGCGUGUAGCAGUGAAAUGCGUAGAUAUGCGGAGGAACACCGAUGGCGAAGGCAGCCUCCUGGGAUAACACUGACGCUCAUGCACGAAAGCGUGGGGAGCAAACAGGAUUAGAUACCCUGGUAGUCCACGCCCUAAACGAUGUCAACUAGCUGUUGGGGCCUUCGGGCCUUGGUAGCGCAGCUAACGCGUGAAGUUGACCGCCUGGGGAGUACGGUCGCAAGAUUAAACUCAAAUGAAUUGACGGGGUCGAUANC
rnacentral:rRNA from 1 species